CGGAGGGUGCAAGCGUUGCUCGGAAUUUAUUGGGCGUAAAGGGUAGGUAGGUGGUCUCAUUUGUCUGGGGUGAAAGCCUUGGGCUUAACCUAGAAGUGCCUCAGAAACGGUGAGACUAGAGUCCUAGAGAGGGUCGUGGAAUUCCCGGUGUAGCGGUGAAAUGCGUAGAGAUCGGGAGGAACACCAGAGGCGAAGGCGGCGACCUGGAUAGGAACUGACACUCAACUACGAAAGCGUGGGGAGCAAACAGGAUUAGAUACCCUGGUAGUCCACGCUGUAAACGAUGGGUACUAGGCUUGGUGGGUCUUGACCCCCGCCGAGCCGGCGCUAACGCAAUAAGUACCCCGCCUGGGAAGUACGGUCGCAAGACUA
rnacentral:rRNA from 1 species